GACGAACGCUGGCGGCGUGCUUAACACAUGCAAGUCGAACGGAAAGGCCCUGCUUUUGUGGGGUGCUCGAGUGGCGAACGGGUGAGUAACACGUGAGUAACCUGCCCUUGACUUUGGGAUAACUUCAGGAAACUGGGGCUAAUACCGGAUAGGAGCUCCUGCUGCAUGGUGGGGGUUGGAAAGUUUCGGCGGUUGGGGAUGGACUCGCGGCUUAUCAGCUUGUUGGUGGGGUAGUGGCUUACCAAGGCUUUGACGGGUAGCCGGCCUGAGAGGGUGACCGGCCACAUGGGGACUGAGAUACGGCCCAGACUCCUACGGGAGGCAGCAGUGGGGAAUAUUGCACAAUGGGCGGAAGCCUGAUGCAGCAACGCCGCGUGCGGGAUGACGGCCUUCGUGUUGUAAACCGCUUUCGCCUGUGACGAAGCGUGAGUGACGGUAAUGGGUAAAGAAGCACCGGCUAACUACGU
rnacentral:rRNA from 1 species